UACGAAGGGGGCUAGCGUUGUUCGGAAUUACUGGGCGUAAAGCGCACGUAGGCGGAUUGUUAAGUUAGGGGUGAAAUCCCGGGGCUCAACCCCGGAACUGCCUUUAAUACUGGCAAUCUCGAGUCCGAGAGAGGUGAGUGGAAUUCCGAGUGUAGAGGUGAAAUUCGUAGAUAUUGGGAAGAACACCGGUGGCGAAGGCGGCUCUCUGGACCGAGACUGACGCUGAGGCGCGAAAGCGUGGGGAGCAAACAGG
rnacentral:rRNA from 1 species